UACGUAGGGUGCAAGCGUUGUCCGGAAUUAUUGGGCGUAAAGAGCUCGUAGGCGGUCUGUCACGUCGGCUGUGAAAACCUGGGGCUCAACUCCGGGCCUGCAGCCGAUACGGGCAGACUAGAGUCCGGAAGAGGAGAGUGGAAUUCCUGGUGUAGCGGUGAAAUGCGCAGAUAUCAGGAGGAACACCCGUGGCUAAGGCGGCUCUCUAGUACGGUACUGACGCUGAGACGCGAAAGCGUGGGGAGCGAACAGG
rnacentral:rRNA from 1 species